AACCCUACUGUGCUGUGGCCUCAUCAACCACCUCAUCUUCCCUACACCUCAAGGCAAGAAAGCAAGGGACUCACAUAUUCUCUGCUGGUUUCUUCACCUUCAAGCCUCUCAAGCAACCCAGCUUAUGCAACCAGAAACCCAGCAUUCAGAAUUCCAAGAAAUUAAAUUCCCAGAAGUUCUCAGAGAUGGCAUUCCCGUCCUCCUCUCAGGUGGACCCCAAAAUGCAUGAUCCCUCUCUCAAUCAAUCUGAUCUCCUAGGUCUCCCAAUCAAUCUCCCAGGACUCCCAGGUCUCCCAGGACUCCCAGGCCUCCCAGGCCUCCCAGGACUUCCAAUAUCCCUUGCUGCUGAAAAAACUUCAUCUAAGUCCUCCAACUCCAAAACUUCAAAGAAUGGGCAACUAGGUGAUAAUAGAGAAGUAGCCCAUCCAGAUUCUCCACCAGCAGGUUCAGCACCAUGAUUCCCAACCUGCCACCUAUCCUGGUUUCUGUUGGGUUCCUAUCCUAUUGGGCGUAACCCGUUUAAGUAUAAUAAGCCCAUUUAGGUCUUCUGAGUUGUGGUUUCCUGAACUUCUAUGUAUAUGGUCUCUUCCUUCUCCUUGAGAACUAUGUGAAAUAUUAAGAGAACUAUGUGAAAUAUUGAAUAUUUAAGUUUUAUCUUCUUUUCCCAUUUUCUCUGUAAUUUUCCCUCUUUCUUCUCUAACGAGAAUGUGUCAUGCAUAGACAGCUAGUCAGCUACGAGUACGGUAAUAUAAUACGAUUCAAUUAUUAGUUAAAUACAAUGAUUAUCGUUGAAACUCAAAAUUUCAGGACAAGGGAGUCGCAUGGAUUCAGAUAUAAAAAUUAUAUAUAUAUAUAUAUAUAUAUAUAUAUAUAUAUAUAUAUAUAUAUAUAUAUAUAUAUAUAUAGGGAAUUGUUAUUGGCACUUCAAAAAUCUCAUUCUACACUCCAAAUUUUCUAUGUUUGGAAAGAAAAAAACAUUUGUGAGGUGUGUAGAAUUAGAUUUUUGGAGUGACAAUAACAAUUCCCUAUAUAUAUAUAAAUUAUUAUUGAAUAUUACCCAAGGAUGAAAUAUGUGAUGUUUAUUAACUAAUGAAAUGUGCUUGAAAACUUUGAGUUUUAAUGAUAAGGACAAAAUAAAGGGUAAAGUGAAUAGUACCAGGAUUGACUUUUUAAUGUAAAAAUGUAGUUUUUCGUUAAAAUGAACAGUACCAGGAACUUUUCGUUAAAGUUCCCUUAUUAAUAAGCAUUUUAGGAAUAUCUCUGACUAUGUUUAUUAACAAUUCCCUAUUAUUGAAUAUUAUUGAAUAUAACCUUUUUCAUCCUUGGGUAAUAUUCAAUAAUAAUUUAUAUAUAUAAUAUUAUAAUAAUUUAUAUAUAUAUAUAUAUAUAUAUAUAUAUAUAUAUAUAUAUAUAUAUAUAUAUAUAGGGAAUUGUUAUUGUCACUCCAAAAAUCUAAUUCAGGGACGUCGUCGUUCUGUAAAUUAUUAAACCAUUCAAAUAUGCGAUGUUUAUUAAUAAGCAUUUUAGGAAUAUCUCUGACUAUGUUUUUAGAUUAACAUGCGCUUAGCAACAGAAAAUUGUCAUGGAGAAGCGGUUGCCCAAACUUAAGGCUGCAAUUUUGAGUGCUCAGAAGUGCUUGGAAGAUUGCAACUAUGUUAGGGGAUUGGUGAGUGACCAUCAUACGCGGAGUUGUUCUGCAUUUUUUAGUUGUACAGUAGUUGUAUAGACAGUCCAUUUUUCUACGUUAGCAGUACAAUUUCUUUUUGUUUUCAUCUUGUUUUUCCUCUCUUUAAUUGUCUGAACUGCAAUACGUUUCUGCAGCUUGAUGAAUGGUGGGACUCCCACCCACCAUAACCGUUGCUCAUCCCUAGAUAGGAGCAACCAGCAACAAUUGUUGUUGACUGGGUCUGAGUCGAUGGAUUAAAUGUUGCUGCCUGGCAUGAUCAUGUGAAGCAGCUCCUUGAAUUUUAUGAUCAGGAGCACUUGUGAGUAUUAUUCGAGUACUCAGCAAACAAGAUUUUAUGGGGAUCUAACUGGUCUUCCUGUUGGCAGUCCCACAUUGAUGGGGGAAGUCAACAAGGGUGGCUAUAAAUAUGAUUACGCUACUCUAACUAAUACCAAGGUUUUUUUUGGUAAAACCCCACACUUGACGGAUUGGGCAGGUGAUAAAGUUGGGGACUGUAUCGGUCUUAUUAGAGUGGCCAGUUGGGGACUCUAUAGGUCUUGUUAGAGUGGUCCCUGGGUCCGUCGAUCUCUACGAAGCCCCUUGUUUCAUUCAUUCUCGCAUUGCUAAAAACACAUUUUCAUUCAUUCUCGCAUCGUUAAAAACACCUACAAAGGCUUGGUAGAAACUCAAGCUCGACUUUAUGCUUGGAAGGUGAAUUCAUUAUCUCUGGCUGGUCGCGCCACUUUUGUUCAGUCUAUGACCUCCGCUGUCCAGUAUAUGCUUUGCAGACAAUAUUACCAAUUACCAUUACAGAUAACCCCGAGUGUCAAAGAUUUUCCCAAGGCAAGAGAAGUUUGGCAAAAGUUGGAAAGUAUAACCAAUAGUCAGACCACAUUAAUUUUCAUGAUUGGCUUCAUUUUAAUUUCACCACUAAAUCACUCAUAUUGGGGGGUUUAGAGUAGAUGUUAGUAUUUUCUGUUGCUUGUUGGUUUAUUUGGUAUUGGCGAAAUACAUUUAUUUUCGAGCAAGAUUUUGCAAUGUUAGAUGAGCCUACCGUCGAUAUUUGUGCAUAUUUUCAUGAAUUGUUAGCCUUCUAAUACUCACAAAAUUGAUAAAUGCCGAAAGACUGAAUCUUUGCUCCACUGGGAAGCUCUUCAUUCAAAAUUGAUUUACACUUGAUGGAAAAUAAUGCUCCUUACAUAACUAACCGGCAGCCGUGCCGGAGGCAAUGUGUGUAUGGAAUCAUAUACUGAGGAUAUUGUCACUUCUAUGUUACGAUUUGAGGAGAGAAAGGCGGAGUAGGGAAGCCGGCCGAGAGGAACAGCUCCUGAUCUUAAGAAGGAUAUGUUGUAUCAUAAACUUAUAACUUGGUCCCUUAUUGAAUGAAAGGGCAGGCUUCUGCUUUGAAUAAUACCACUUCAGACUUCAGUCCAAUUAUGUCUUCCUGUUCUGAAAAUUGACAACUCCAUGUGAUAACAAAACAUCUCAUGUAUUAUUGUACGGUUGAAAAUUGCUGCUUUACACUAUACAUUUAACGUGAUUAGAAAUUCCAUGAAAAUUUACAAACAAUACCAGGGAUGUGUCAUAGGCUGAAAAGGAGUAAGGAUGUUUGUACAUAGGCUGAAAAGGAGUAGGGAUGUUUGUACGUUCCUUCCCCACAGCAAAACCACAUAGCAAAAGGAUUACAAACACAGCUAACAAAUCAAUAAACACAAAAUCAUCAUUAGGUCAACGAUCAUAUGAUUAUAUCAGAUGCACGUCAAUUAAAUAAUUCUCAUGUUCAACUAAGGUCACUAAAAGCCCCCUAUUUGGCCUAAUUAGAUAUGGUCUUCGUGGUGAUAGGAUAUUUGUAAUAUAGCUCAUGACUUAAAAAAAAAAAUUCGGAUUUAAACCCUUGUGGUGAUAGGGUAUUUAGAAGACAAUCCAUUUCUAUUGAGCCACAAUGAAGGGAGUGCAGAAAUUCACAGUUUUGUUUUUGGGAUUAACAAAGAAAUAACAGAAAUUUGGUUUUUGGGCUUAAAUCACAACGGACUUCACCACAAGAAUAUAAAUCUGAUUUUUUUUACCACAUGGGCUAUCUUCCGAAUACUCUAUCAUCACGAGGACUAUUUAUACAAUUAGGUCAAUGUUUUUUUAAGGUGAAUAUCACAUGCUAAAACGGAGAAGGAUUCUCUCAUCUUCUAAUCUCUCUCCCAUUCCCUCCUCUCCUACUUGAACAAUUAUGAUUAAGUUAUGUCAAUAUUUUAUAUUGAUAUUUUUAUAAAGAUAAUAAGACAAAAAACAAUGUGUUGAUGCACAAAAUCAGCGAGGACUUUGGUACAACAGAAAGUGUCAGGUUUGUGACAUUCGCUUGGUUGCUUCGAUCACUAGUGAAGAUAAGUACGUAAAUGAAUAGGGACAGGGAAGCAAACACAAGAUGUACGUGGUUCACCCAAAUCGACUACGUCCACGGAGUAGAGGAGUUCUCAUUAAUUGUGAAGGGUUUACACAAAUACAUAGGUUCAAGCUCUCAUUUUUUGAGUUCUAGUGAAUAGUUUAGUACAAAAUGACAUUAGAUAUUAUUGUGGGAGAAUGAUCCCUAUUUAUAGAAGAAAGUUUCUAGUUUUGUUCUAACAUUGACACGUGUCGUGUUGUGAUUGGCUUCUGAUGUUGACACGUGUCGCGCUGUGAUUGGCUUCUGAUGUCGACACGUGUUGCAUUGUGAUUGGCCUCCUGGUUGAAGGGAAGCUCUUCUGGGUCCUUGACGUAUAACGUUGACCGGUGCUCAGUAGUUUCGGGAUUGGUCAAGUAUGGUACAAACAGUGCUCCCCUAAGUUCCCGAGUGAGGGAAGCUCCUCGGUUGGGGACUUGCAAGAUCCAAGCCACUGAGUAAUCACGAAACUUCUAAGUACCGAAGUGUGGUAUCAUUUUCACGCGCCUUAUCUGUCUCAUAUGUAGAUGUGGCAUCUUCUUUGGAAGUACUUUUCCUUCAUCCAUGGGUGGUAUCUUUAACCGAUGAAGAUGCACAAGGUAAUGUAUCAAUUUCACUUGAAGCUUACUUAUAGUUUCGGGCUUGGUCAAGUGCGAUACAAACCCUAUAGUAGGAGUCCCCCAAGUCGCCGAGCUAGGAGAUCUGCCGAAAGAGGUGACAGACAAGGUAAGCAGUCAAACUUCCAAGCAAGCAACCCAGGAUCAGAGGUUCGACUUCGGCUUCCGGUUGAUUGUUCUCCUUCUCCUUGUCUCUCAUUCAGCUGCCGGGAUAAGGAGAGGCAAAUGGAGAAGAGAUGAUAUGAGAUACUUUUGCUUUUGAAGAAGUAACUUUCCACAGGCUUAUUCUUGAACUGUGCUGGAGGGUUUUCUGGUUCCCUUCAGAGUAUAAGGCCGACUCAAGAAUUUGAGGGUCAAAACAAGUCCAUCAAAUCUAGAGUACGUUCGACCUUGAUGAUAUGGGAUACUUUUGCUGUUGACGGAAUAGUGAAUGUGGUAUGGAAAAGUGUCGUGCUGUAGUGAUCUGUUUCAGCUCACCGUUAAACCUUCUGCUUUAAUCUUUUGCAUGGCAGAAGUGGUGUGCAACCUUUGCAUUUAAAUGGUCCUUCAGAACAUUCCUUCAUAGUGACUCAUCCACGCUUGGCAGCUUCAGUGUAAAGAGCCAAUAUCUGAUCAACUGUCAUGAGGUAUGUGCCGGUGGAAUUCAUGACCUUGACAGCAGUUGAGGAUGAGUUCUCGAGAGCAAUGCUAAGUAAGCAACCAGGCAAAGGUCUCAGGCAGUCAGUUCCAGAUUGGAGGUUUGAUUUCAGGUUCCGACUGACUGCUCUCUUUCUCUUGUCCUGCAGGUGUGGACAAGGACGAAGACAAGGACAGGGAGAAAGCAUAAUAUGAGAUACUCUUACUUUCGACCCUGAUGAUAUGAGAUACUCUUGUUCUUGGUGUGGCUUAUUUGCUGAGGUAUUAUCGGGGGGAAAUAAAGCUGAGUAUUUCGAGAGGUUAUGUUGAGGGUGCAUUCUCGAAUGUGAGAAAGGGUUGAGCAUUUUUGUAGGUUUGCCUGUCCGUUGAGGAUGGAGGUCGAUGUAUAUAGGGAUUUCCCAAUAACAAGUAGUAAUGCUAUUCCUUUAUCCUUCUUGGUCACAACAAUGUAGUGGGAGCUGCCAGCUUCACGUGUUUUAACUUUGUCAGAGCACUUUGAAAAAUUGGUAUGUGGUAUCUGGAAAGCUGAUGUUGCGUGUGAAGAUUACAGACAAGCUUUAUCUAAGGAAAUCUGGCUCUCGAAGUUCUGAGAGCUGUGCCUCUUCGGUUUUCGAACAAGCAAUCCCGUCGGGGAUCUAGCUCUCGAGAUUCGGAAAGCGGUGCAGCUUCGGUUUUUGAGAAAGUAAUUAUGUUAGGAGUCUUUUCUCGAAGGUGAGUAAAGGUUGGACGUUCUUGCCAGCCUGUCUUGCCACAGAACACGGAGGUCGACACACAUAGGGGCUUUCCAGUUGUCAAGCAGUGGUGCUGUUCCUUUACCCUUGUGGGUAAUAGUAGGGUAGCUGGAACUUCUAAAUUCUCGUGCCUAAACUUUGUCAGAGAUCUUUGGCAAAGUUAUAUGUGGUACCCGAGGAGUUGAUGGUGCGUGUGGAGAGUGGUGAUUGAACAGUAAGAUUCACGUGCUUUUUAUUUCACCAGAAAUCUUCGACAGAUUGCCCAUAAUUUCCGCAAAGCUGAGUGUGCAUGUGACAGGUGCUGACGAGGCUGAAAAAGCAGGUGCUUCUUCGAUUUCUGAGAUCGGCCCUCGUGGUCUCUGAGCAACUCAGCUUUCGAGAAAGCAAACGCCUCUUCGAUUUCUGAAGCUCUGUCAAGUGUAGAUUUUUAUAGAGGUUGGCAUUAAGUUCCACAUCACACUUGAAUCUCCACCAGUAGAAGCUCCCUUCUUGCACUUCUAAGAUCUUGAUUUGUCUGACCUCUUCCCUCUUCAACACCUUUGAAAAUGUCUAGCUCCUCUGACCGUCGUUUUGACUUGAACCUUGGAGAAGAGACAGCCACGCCUUCUCCAGACAACAUAUGGCGCCCAUCCUUCAUAUCCCCUACUGGUCCUCUUACCGUUGGGGAUUCUGUGAUGAAGAAUGAUAUGACCGCUGCAGUGGUGGCCAAGAACCUUUUCACUCCCAAAGAUAACAUACUACUUUCCAAACGGUCUGAUGAGUUGGCUGUUAAGGAUUCUUUGGCUCUUAGUGUUCAGUGUGCAGGUUCUGUGUCUAAUAUGGCCCAACGCCUAUUUGCUAGAACCCGCCAAGUUGAAUCAUUGGCUGCUGAAGUGAUGAGUUUCAAACAGGAGAUUAGAGGGCUCAAGCAUGAGAAUAAACAGUUGCACCAGCUUGCACAUGACUAUGCUACAAACAUGAAGAGGAAGCUUGACCAGAUGAAGGAAUCUGAUGGUCAGGUUUUACUUGAUCAUCAGCGGUUUGUGGGUUUGUUCUAAAGGCAUUUAUUACCGUCGUCUUCUGAGGCUGUACUGCGUAAUGAAGCUCCAAAUGAUCAACCUCCGAUGCCUCCUCCUUCUGGGGUUCUGUCCAGUACUGAGGCUCCGGAUAACCACCCUUCGGUGCUUUCUCUUUCUGGGGCUCUACCGACUGCUGAGACUUCCCCUGAGCAACCUUUGUGAAGGCUCCCUCUUGUUUGUUUAUUUUGAUUCAUGUAUAUGUACAUAUUUGUAACUUAUCGGAAAUAUCAAUAAACAAGAUUAUCUUCAUUUCAACGUAUUGUGUUAAAUACACCAAGGCAUUCUUCACUAAGUUCUUUGAAUUUUUCCUUUUGUUGAAGCUUGUAUGUUGAAACUUUGUGAGUGAAGCAUGUAGGUUGAGGUAGUGCUCCCUUAAUUUCCCGAGUGAGGAAAACUUCUCGUUUGGAGACUUGAAAAAUCCAAGUCACUGAGUGGUCGUGAGACUUCCGAGUAUCAAGGUGCAGUAGCAUAUGGUAGGAGUCCCCCAAGUCUCUGGUCGAGGGAGUUGACAAAUGAGGCAUUUCCUUUCGAAGUGGUAGCCCAAAACUCCUUCUUCAUAUAUAUUUGUUAUGAAAGUUGUUAGGCCCAAAGAAGAGGAGGCCUAGGCAAAUUUUUUUUUUUUUGAAUUUUCAAAUUUCCGGAUUUUUGAAUUUUCGAAUUUCCGAAAAAUAAAAAAUAAAAAUAAUAUAUAUAUAUUUAAAAGCUUUGUAGGUGAAGCUUUGGUGUUGAAGAUUUGUAGGUGAAGCUUUGAGGUUGAAGCUUUGUUGGGCACCAUGAAUUGAUUUUGCUUCACACUAUCUUGAUGAAGAGUGUGUGAAGCUUUUAUAUGUUUUGGUGUUGAAAUUUUGUAUUGUAGGUGAAACUUUGGGGUUGAAGCUUGAUAGGUGAAGCUUUGGUGUUGAAGCUUUAUAGGUGAAGCUUUGGUGUUGAAAGCUUUAUAGGUGAAAGCUUUGGUGUUGAAGCUUUAUGAAGCUUUAUGUGAAGCUUUGGUGUUGAAGCUUUAUAGGUGAAGCUUUUGUUGGCACCAUAAAUUAAUUUUGCUUCACACUAUCUUGAUGAAGAUAGUGCGAAGUUUUGGAGAUUGAUAUUUGUCCUCCAUUGAUGAAGCUUUUGUUGGCACCAUAAAUUGAUCUUGCUUCACACUAUCUUGAUGAAGAUAGUGCGAAGCUUUUGAGAUUGAUAUUUGUCCUCCAUUGAUGAAGCUUUUGUUGGCACCAUAAAUUGAUUUUGCUUCACAGUAUCUUGAUGAAGAUAGUGCAAAGCUUUUGAGAUUGAUAUUUGUCCUCCAUUGAUGAAGCUUUUGUUGGCACCAUAAAUUGAUCUUGCUUCACACUAUCUUGAUGAAGAUAGUGCGAAGUUUUGGAGAUUGAUAUUUGUCCUCCAUUGAUGAAGCUUUUGUUGGCACCAUAAAUUGAUCUUGCUUCACACUAUCUUGAUGAAGAUAGUGCGAAGCUUUUGAGAUUGAUAUUUGUCCUCCAUUGAUGAAGCUUUUGUUGGCACCAUAAAUUGAUUUUGCUUCACACUAUCUUGAUGAAGAUAGUGCAAAGCUUUUGAGAUUGAUAUUUGUCCUCCAUUGAUGAAGCUUUUGUUGGCACCAUAAAUUGAUUUUGCUUCACACUAUCUUGAUGAAGAUAGUACGAAGCUUUUGAGGAUUGUAGUUGUGUUCCAUUGUUGAAGCUUUGUUUUUCCUUUUUUUUUUUUUUUUUUUUUUUUUUUUUUGGGAAAACUAGAAAUUUGAAAAUGUGGGAGAGACAACAUAUACAAAUUUUGCUUCCAUACUGUUAAGCGAGAGAUUGUGAUGCAAGCCACAUCUUGUAGUAGUCGAAGGUUUGGAUGAACCAUAUAAAUUGAAUUUGCUUCGAACAGUCUUGAUCAAGAGCGUGUGAAGCUUUCUAUGAGUUGUAGUGUUUGCAUUGUUACAGAGGAGAAAUGUCUGAAGCAGAUGCAAGAGGGCUGAAGAGCUUGAUCUUCGUAUACCAUGCACUGAAGCCAUUGUUGGCUUGCAAUAAGACUUUGUUGGUGACUAUAGCUCUUGUUAGGCAUAAGUGCUCCCUUAGUUGAGUUGUAAAGCUUGAUGGUUUUUGAUUAUUUGUGAAUGCUAGGAGUUCACAUGUACAAGUUGUACCACUCGUCUUCUGGUUAGUGGAAUGAAGGGUGGGUUGCUUUCAUCACUUGGUUGGUGGUACGAAUGUGAAUUCCUUAAUCACCUUUCAUCACAUUUCAUCACCUGGUUGGUGACAUGAAGGAGAGUACGCGUUGUACAUUUCAUCACCUGGUUGGUGGCAUGAAGAUGAGUUCCUUCUUCACCUGAUUGGUGAUAAGGGUGGCAAGUUUCCAAAUAAUAUUAGAGUACGGGUUGUACAUUUCAUCACCUAGUUGGUGGUACGAAGGUGAGUUCCUUCAUCACCUAGUUGGUGAGAAUAAGGGCAAGGUGUCGAGGCACAUUGUGGCAAAUGUCGAAUGACACAAAGUGUGUUGAACCCUUUCGAAGCACAGUUGGCUUAUGUAUGGAUGUGUUGGAAUGUAUGAUGUUUAUGCAUGAAUGUGUUGGAAUGUAUGAUGUUUAUGUAUGAAUGUAUUGGAAUGUAUGAUGUUUAUGUAUGAAUGUGUUGGAAUGUAUGAUGUUUAUCCUUUGUAUAGUCUUGUUGACACAUACUUAGAUUUUGUUUUGUAUUAGAAACAUUUGCGUUGAAGCUUCAACACUUGAGUGUUUCAUUGCUCAGAAUGUAAAAGAGUUUAGGGCCGAGUUGGCUAAAUCACCUUUUUAUUGAAUUCAUACCAAAUGGUUUUGUUACAUAGGAUGCCGAACGGCUGUAGCUUAACACUUGUACAAUGUGAGUCUAUUUGUAAUAGUACUUCAAGUCGUCAGCAUUCCAUGGAUGGCCAAAAGUCUUGCUGUCGGAGCUUCUGAGCUUGUAGGAGCCAGGGCGGCUGAUGCUGACGACCUCGAACGGUCCAUCCCAGUUAGGACUGAGUGUUCCUUCAUUCGGGACUCUAUCACAGAGUAAUCUUUUCUUCAGUACCCAGUCUCCACUUUGAAUGAGCGAGGUUUGACCCUUGAGUCGUAGUAGUUGGAGAUGCGCUGCUUGUAGGCGACAUUCCUCAGAUGAGCCUGAUUUCUAUGUUCCUCGACUAGAUCCAGGUUGAGGGUGAGUUGUUUGUCGUUUUCACUCUGCAUGUAGUUCUGGAUUCGGUAUGUUGCUUGCUCAAGCUCAACCGGGACAACUGCUUCUGUACCAAAAGCAAGUGAGAAUGGAGUUUCUCCUGUGGAAGUCCGAUAUGAAGUGCGGUAUGACCAAAGAACUUGGGGUACGAAUUCUGGCCAACAACCUUUAGCUUUGUCCAAGCUAGUUUUCAGAGUGCGCUUGAUUAUUUUGUUAACGGCCUCGACUUGUCUAUUAGACUGGGGAUGGGCUGGAGAGGCAAAACAUAAGUUGAUGUUAAACUUAGAGCAGAACAUCCUGAAGUUCUUGUUAUCGAAUUGUCACCCAUUGUCCGUGACUAUCGCAUUGGGAAUGCCGAAUCUGCAAAGGAUGUUCUUCCAUACGAAGUCUUCUAUUUUUGCCUCAGUAAUGGUUGCCAAGGGUUCUACUUCAGUCCACUUUGUGAAGUAGCCAACUGCAACGAUUGCAUAGCGGACCUUGCCCUUCCCUGCAGGCAUUGGGCCGAUCAAAUCAAGUCCUCAUUGGGCGAAGGGCCAAGGGCUGAUCAUAGGAGUGAGCGGCUCGGGAGGGGAGUGAGGGAUAGUUGCGUAGCGUUGACACUUAUCACAUGAGCGAGAUAUUCUGAUGGCAUCUUGGUGGAGUGUUGGCCAAUAGUAUCAUUGGCGAAAAGUCUUGUGUGCUAGGGAUCGAGACCCAGCAUGAUCUCCGCAGACUCCUUCAUGUAUUUCCCGAAGGACAAUUUCCGCCUCCGCAGGUGUAAGGCAUCUUAGGUAAGGCAGGGUAAAACCUCGCUUGUAGAGUUGGUCAUUAAUGAUCAGGUAGCGAGCAGACUUGUAUCGAAUCUGCUUAGCUUGGACUUUGUCAUUUGGGAGGGUGCCAUGGGCAAGGAAUUUAUAAAUUGGGGUGAUCCAACUAUCUCCUUGUUGUAAAUUGCACACUUCUGCGACCAUGGUGCUUGGUGCUGCCAACAAUUCGACAUGAAUUUUUCUCCCAAUCUUGUCUUCCACUGCCGAGGCGAGGCGGGCCAAAGCGUCUGCAUGACUAUUUGCCGCUCGAGGAACUUGGGUGAUCUGGUAGUGGAAGUGCUUGAGCAAAAGUCGUGUUUGCGCAAGAUAUGUUGCCAUGGAGCUAUCCUUAGCAUCAAAGUUGUUCGUGACUUGGUUGACCACUGAUUGAAAGUCACUGAAGAUAUCAAUUUGUUUAACUCCAAGAUGCUUGGCCAAACGUAAGCCUGCUAGAAGGGCUUCGUAUUCGGCCUCGUUGUUCGAUGCCUUGAAUUUGAAACGAAGAGCGUAUUCUAUCGCCACUUUGUCAGGGGUAGUGAGGACUAAUCCUGCUCCGCAGCCCUGUUGGUUGGAUGAGCUAUCAACAUACAGACUCCAUGCUGGGGUUGUUGAUUUUGUCUUCUGAGCUUCCGAUGGUAAUGAAGCUAUUGCUUCAGGUGUAGAAGCUAUUGCUUCAGGUGUAGAAGCAAUGUCAACAGGAUAUGUGAAGUCGGCGAUGAAAUCUGCUACUGCUUGACCCUUUUCGGCUGGUUUUGGUUGGUAGGAGAUGUCAAACUCACCCAAUGCUAUUGCCCAUUUGAUCAUUCGCCCAUACGUGUCAGGACUCUAGAGUACCUGUCGAAGAGGGUGAUUGGUAAGCACGAUGAUGGCGUGUGCUUGGAAAUAAGGGCGAAGUUUUCCAGCAGACAUGACCAAUGCUAGAGCUAAUUUCUCAAUGUUGGAAUAUCGUGUCUCCGCAUCUUGUAGGGCCUUGCUAGCAUAGUAGACGGGCCGUUCGACACCACUGUCCUUUCGGAUAAGAACAGAACUGACUGCUGAAGCCGAGACCGAUAGAUAGAUAAUGAGAGUGUCACCAACUUCUGGUUUGGAGAGCAGAGGGGCUUUACUCAUGUACUCUUUGAGGUUCCUGAAUGCCUUGGCACAUUCCUCCGUCCAUGUAAUGUACUUCUUAUUUCCCUUGAGUGCUUUGAAGAAAGGAGCACAUCUGUCUGUGGCCUUAGAGAUGAAUCUGGUUAAGGCUGCCACAUUGCCAGUAAGGCUUUGGAUGUCUUUUGAAGUUACUGGCUCUUUCAUGUCGAGGAUUGCUUUGAUCUUUUCGGGGUUAGCUUCAAUGCCUCGUUGGCUAAUCAUGAAGCCUAAGAAUUUGCCAGAUCCCACGCCGAAGGCACAUUUGUUGGGGUUCAACCUCAUUCGAUACCUCUUUAGAAUGGUGAAAGUUUCAGAUAGGUUGGUGAUGUGUUGGUCAGCAUGUUUGCUUUUGACUAGCAUAUCAUCAACGUAAACUUCCAUGCUCUUCCCAAUCUAUUCGGCAAACAUUGAAUUGACCAGUCUCUGAUAAGUUGCUCCUGCAUUCUUUAGGCCGAAAGGCAUGACUUUGUAGCAAUAUAGUCCCUUGUCAGUAGUGAAGGCUGUGUUCUUGGUCUGAGGGGUUCAUGAGGAUUUGGUUGUAUCCUGAAUAAGCGUCCAUGAAGCUCAAGAGCUCACACCCUGCCGUAAAGUUUAUAAGUCUAUCAAUGAGAGGAAGGGGGAAACUAUCAUUCGGGCAUCCUUUGUUUAGGUCGGUGUAGUCGACACACAUUAUCCACAAGACCUUUUGAAGCAGAAGACUUUCUUUGGUCAGAUUUUUCUUAACAAGGACAACAUUUACUACCCAUGUUGGGUAAUUGACUUCACGGACGAAGCCUAUGUCCUUGAGUUUUUCAACUUCUGCUUUCAUCGCCUCGUAUCGUUCAACAUCAUAAGAUCUUCGCUUCUGUUUUACUGGUUUGGUCUUGGGAUCAAUACUCAAGUGGUGACAGAUGAUAUCGGGAGAGAUGCCCGGCAUAUCUUUAUAUGACCAAGCGAAGACCUCGGCGUUCUCUUGCAAAAAGGAGAUCAGCGACAACCGAAGGGGUGGUGACAAAGUGGUGCCAAUCUUCACCAUGCGAUCUGGAUGGUCUUUGGAGAUAGAGACAUUCUCUAACUCUUCAGCGGGUUGUGCUUGCUGGGUGAAUGAGUCAUCUCGAGGGUCGUCGGGUUGACUGUUGCCAUCAUGAAGAUCCGAGUUGGCUUCAUCUGGACUGGUCUUUACUACCUGGUUAUGUAUAGAGAGGGUCUCCUUGAGGACAUGCAGGUGUUGUUGCUUAACUGAAGUGUUGUAACAUGAUCGAGCACUAAGUUGAUCUCCCAUGAUGUAUCCAUUGCCGAAAGGGGUUGGAAACUUCAUCAACAACAUAUGUGUGGAUACCAUGGCCUUGAGAUCAUUGAUGCCUGUGCGCCCAAAGAUGACAUUAUAUGCCGUCGGGCAAUUGACCACUAGGAAGUUAGUGGUAAUAGUAGCUGUGUAGGGGCCUGUACCAAUGGUGAGGGGUAAGUGUAUACUCCCUAAAGGUUGCACGAUAUCGCCAGAGAAGCUUAUCAGAGGAGAAAUCGAGCGAUCGAGCAAGUGUUCAGCUACAUUAAGUGCCUUGAAAGCUUCAGCAAACAUGAUAUUGACUGAAGCACCUGUGUCUAUCAGGAUUCGUUUCACAUCAAAAUUUGCUAUGUGAGCCUCCACGAUCAGCGGGUCGUUGUGAGGGUAGAUGAUACCUCUUUCUUCCUCAGGGUAGAAACAUAUUGGAUCCCAGUUAGGUUUUUGAUACUUGCCUCCCCUGAUGUCUUCCACGUGAAACACUUGAUGGCCAUGUCUCAAAGUUCGUUCACUGUUUUUCAUGGCCCUAUUGGAAGAUUCAGACAUGGGUGUGCCGCCGCUUAUGGAGUAUAUCACAUUCACCUGGCGUUGGUUACGGUUAUCCCUUGGAGGAUGAAGGAGGAACUGAUCAAUUUUUCCUUCACGUGCCAAAGCUUCGAUAUGAUCAUGGAGGAUGAUGCAUUUCUCGCCGUCAUGGCCAUUAUACGUGGUAGCAGCAAAACACGCUCGUGUUCUUCGUGGACUUGUAAUUUGGCUGUCUUGGCUUUGGCUUUGGUAUCAGGUAAGCUAUACUGGGGUAGAUGGCCGCGCAUGUAGCGUUCAAAGGUGUGUAUGUCUCAUACCUCGGGGUAUGGCCUGUCUUGACACGCGAUUGGCCCACUGCGUUGACUGCAUGGGGAUGGGUGUUAUUGUGACGAUAUACUGAGUUAUCGUGAUAGUGCCCCUUAUUCUUUUUAUUAAAAUGAGAUUGGUGAGGAUGGAAAUCUUUCCUUUUGCCCUGGGAUUGAUAUGUCUGCUGACUUGGCGAAGCAUUAAAUGAGGCCGGGGGGUGUGCUGCUACCGUUUGGAAGGUUGAGGUCUUUUCAUUCGGUUGGAUCUGGCCUCCACUCCUACUUGCUGAUAAGGGGUGACUGUAGGGGGUUUCCCUUGAUAUGUCCUUGCCUCGGCAGAGGCAUGGUUGUAAGCUUGUGCCAUCACUUCAGAGUAAGUCUUCCAAGUGUUGGCAUUGAUCAUGUACUUGAAGAAACAGUCACGUAAGCCUGCCGUGAAGGCCUUGAGGGCGGUCUUGUCAUCUGCCUCAGCGCAGCGGGAAUACUCAUGGCUGAAGCGACCAGCAUACUUUCGUAAUGACUCGUCCGGCUUCUGGUGAAUAGUGUACAAGUCAUCUGCGGAAUGCAAGCGAUCGGUCUAGAAGAUGUGUUGAGAGACAAACAACUUCCUCAACUCUUCAAAUGAGUCUACCGUCUCGGGUAGAAGACGACAAUACAGUUUAAAGCUCCGCCAGAAAGGGUGGAGGGGAAGAGAAGGCACCGUUCUUCAUCGGUGUGUCUCCGGUAUACCAUGGUGGACUCAAAGAGGUUAAUGUGUUCAAUCGGGUCUUCCCUUCCAGUAUAGAGUUGUAAGUCAAGCUUCUGCUUUGUCUUCGCUUGGAGGGGGGUGUUGAGGAUCCUUCUUGUGAGGGGGCCAGGCCUGGGUUGGUUCCAGUCAGGUAUCUCGGCUUGACGUUCAGCCUUCAACUUGUUUACUUCCUCCAGGAGCUGUAGGACGAGGGGGUCCUGAGUGGAGUCGUGCAUCACUGGAGUUUUCUUCCGUAAGUCCCCAUCGCCUCUUGGAAGUAGGAAAGUUUGAUCAAGAUAGCAUGAUUUUUCCUUGGACUCGUCACACUGACUCCUAGAGUGAGUAUGUCGGAACAUUUCCGAGUCCCCUGUACCUUCAUGUUCUUCUGGGACUUGUUGCCCAUUCCCUAGAUUAACUGCUGGCCUGGGUCGUGGGAAAGGACCGAGUCUUUCAGAAACUCUUGGGUCAUUGAUCUUCGAGCUUAUGUGGAUGGGAUUCUCUCGACGUUGCUUUAGGAAGUCUCGACAAUCGCGAUAGACAGCUUUUGAUCCUUCCACUCCUUCUGUGAGGAGGUGCUUUCCUCUACUCUUUCUGCUUCGGGUUGAAGCAGCUGGGUUGAGAGAAGUCUCAUGUUGAUUAUCACAUUGAUGUGUAGCUCGAUCCCUAUCAGGGAUGUCCGUGUUGGAUAUUGGUGACCCUCCGUGUUGGGGGGCAUUCAGAUGAUUGUUGACCUCAGCAGGGGCGACGAGCUUGUGUGCUUGAGCAUGCCUAGCCUCGUGAAGCAUCUCGAAAAGUUUUUCAUACUGCUCCUGGAGGACCUCGUUCCUCAUCACUAUCUUGUUGUUCUGAGCUUCUAACUCAUCGACUUUAGCUUGAAGAGUAACUCUAUUUCCUUCCUGCUUUCGUUGCUUCAUACUAGGUCCAAUGGGGGUGUCAUUCUGUGUGCUAUGGCUUCUUUCGCUCCCCAUGUUGGAGAGAGAUGUUUGGCCAAAAGAAAGUGUACGGGCGGUGGAAACCAGCUUAACAAAGCUGAAGAGAGUGGGAGUAAGUGUCUUUCCCACAGACGGCGCCAAAUGUUGAUGCACAAAAUCAGCGAGGACUUUGGUACAACAGAAAGUGUCAGGUUUGUGACCUUCGCUUGGUUGCUUCGAUCACUAGUGAAGAUAAGUACGUAAAUGAAUAGGGACAGGGAAGCAAACACAAGAUGUACGUGGUUCACCCAGAUUGGCUACGUCCACGGAGUAGAGGAGUUCUCAUUAAUUGUGAAGGGUUUACACAAAUACAUAGGUUCAAGCUCUCAUUUUUUGAGUUCUAGUGAAUAGUUUAGUACAAAAUGACAUUAGAGAUUAUUGUGGGAGAAUGAUCCCUAUUUAUAGAAGAAAGUUUCUAGUUUUGUUCUAACAUUGACACGUGUCGUGUUGUGAUUGGCUUCUGAUGUUGACACGUGUCGCGCUGUGAUUGGCUUCUGAUGUCGACACAUGUCGCAUUGUGAUUGGCCUCCUGGUUGAAGGGAAGCUCUUCUGGGUCCUUGACGUAUAACGUUGACCGGUGGUAGAUGGCCGCGCAUGUUGAUGUGGCAUCUUCUUUGGAAGUACUUUUCCUUCAUCCAUGGGUGGUAUCUUUAACCGAUGAAGAUGCACAAGGUAAUGUAUCAAUUUCACUUGAAGCUUACUUAGAAGUUUCGUGAUUACUCAGUGGCUUGGAUCUUGCAAGUCCCCAACCGAGGAGCUUCCCUCACUCGGGAACUUAGGGGAGCACUGUUUGUACCAUACUUGACCAAUCCCGAAAACUACUGAGCACCGGUCAACGUUAUACGUCAAGGACCCAGAAGAGCUUCCCUUCAACCAGGAGACCAAUCACAAUGCGACACGUGUCGACAUCAGAAGCCAAUCACAGCGCGACACGUGUCAACAUCAGAAGCCAAUCACAACACGACACGUGUCAAUGUUAGAACAAAACUAGAAACUUUCUUCUAUAAAUAGGGAUCAUUCUCCCACAAUAAUCUCUAAUGUCAUUUUGUACUAAACUAUUCACUAGAACUCAAAAAAUGAGAGCUUGAACCUAUGUAUUUGUGUAAACCCUUCACAAUUAAUGAGAACUCCUCUACUCCGUGGACGUAGCCGAUCUGAGUGAACCACGUACAUCUUGUGUUUGCUUCCCUGUCCCUAUUCAUUUACGUACUUAUCUUCACUAGUGAUCGAAGCAACCAAGCGAAGGUCACAAACCUGACACUUUAUGUUGUACCAAAGUCCUCGCUGAUUUUGUGCAUCAACACAAUGUAUGAGAGAAGGAAAUGAAAGAUGAUGUGAAUAAGAGGGGAGAAAAUUCUACUCAUGCUAAAAACAAAAAAUAAUGAUCGACUCUGUAGAUAUUGGCCAAACCAAACAUUAGAUGUGAAAAAUUAGCACUUUGCCGAAUAAUAUUCCGAGUGAGCAAAAUAGAGAAAAAUAUAACAAUGGCACACAGAAAAAAUAUAAAAGUUGAGGAGCCGGGUGAUAUAAUAUUAGACAUUGCAAUUGUAGGCUCGGACGACUCAAGGAGAAAAAGGUUGCUUGCACCACUAUAGGAAAAUUACAAAUCAACAAUGCAGAGGUAACGUGCAUGGUCUUCUCUUCUGCCAUGAAAAAUUCAUGUUGCUUUCAUAUAAUUAACUAAUUAACUAGUUAUUAGUGUUAAUUAUUCUCUAACAUUUCCUUCCUCCAUUGUUUUCUUCUUCUUCAGAUCAAAGUUUCAAUAGUUUUUUUUUAUUUUUUAAAUUCCUUUUACUUUAACAAUAUUAGCGAUUCCAAUUCUACUAGCUAGUUUUAGGUUGUAUUUUAAUUGGCUCGUGUGCUUCUGUUGCAGGACGUGUUUGGGGAAAAAGGAAGGAUACUUGAACAGGCAGGAGCUGUAGCAAAGGUAGCCUCUAUGAAAAAACAUAAUGAACUCUUUGUAACGAAACAACUUCGUUUGACUCGUUUCAUUUAAAUUUUUUGUUUUUCUCAGGUGCAAAGCGACGUGGUUUUGUUAAAAAAAAAAAAAAAACUAAAACGGAGCAACGCCCCACUGCAGAAAACCAAAAUGCAGCACCGCAGCACCAGAGCAGAGGGGUGGAAACCUGGAUUUUGGGAACGAACUCCGGCGACCGAAGGUGCGAACACACCUCCUUGAACCUCUGUGGCUUCGCCAAUGAAGGUCUCGAUAUUAUUUAUGAGGAGUUCAUGAUAAUUACUUUAAAGUGUUAAUAACAAUCCUCUUUCUUAUUCUUAUGCUAGUAGGUCUGGUACUUCCUACAAUCUUAAAAUAUGCAUAAAUUCACUCAUAUAGAAUGGGAAAAUGCCAUACGUUACCAUUUGGAAAUUGGCGAGACAUGAAAAAGUCCUUGAACCUCGCUCCCCCCCGCAAGGCAGGCUUAAACUCGCCCGUGAUGAGAAGACAUGUCUUUUGUGAAUGACAGGAAAUAGGACAAAACCAUCCCUUCUCUUUUUUGUUAGUAAAAGCAUCCCAUGCUUUCUAUCUCUUCAUUCCACUGACUAUUUCGAACACAAAACAUCAAUACAAGUAUUAGUAAAAUGAAAACUUCUUUCUUUUAUUCAAUAAUUAUUAUGGGUUGUGUUUAUUGAUCAACCUGUAAGUAGAUAAAACACUAAUAAUACAAUUAGUUAGGUAAAAAAAAUCAGUUUUUUUUUCAAGUUUCUCAACUAACCGGGACCUAAGUAUUCCCUUGGCGUUCUUACACCAACAAAGAAACAACAACGAAACACACAGGAACACAAAAAUUGGGGACCUCUUUUUAUCUACUUGCCCACCAUCACAAAUAUUACCUUUUUUUUCUUGUAUGGUUUGGUGGUAGGGAACGAAACCUAGCUACAUUCACUUCUUCUGAUUUGCAGUUGACUCUGGUUUUUACAUGAGUAUAUACUGAAGCUCGAUGGACCCCAGGCUAUAUAAUAUUCGAAAAUAGUCAUUCCUUAUUUGUCCGUCAAUCACAAUAUAUAUAAUCAAUUUGAUGAGUAAUUUUGCGUACAUGUAAAGUGUACGUACAAUCCUACAGAGAAUAUUUACAUUAGUUAUAAGGCCUCAGCAUUUGAUAUAACUAAAAGGCAACCUGUAUCAACUCAUUCUUCGAGUCAAGAAUAUCUGAGCUUCUUAGAGGGGGAAUAUAGGCUCUAAAACCAUGUCUUGGUUUUUUACAGUUCUCUUUCUUGUUACUGCUCUUACAUUUCAUACUCCUUCAGAGGCUAGCCAUGAGAAGAACGAUCCUUCUGCAGUUGUUGUAGGCACUGUCUACUGUGACACAUGUUUCCAAGAGGAUUUCUCACAUACCAGCCAUUUCAUUUCAGGUAAAUUCAUCUCAAAAUUUCAACAAGUUCUUCAUCAAAUUUAUUUUUAUAUUGUAGUCUGACUAUAAAAUAGACGUCCGUUCAAUGAUUUCCGUACACCUUCUCCUCCAUACACUCAUGUUUAUUUUGUAAUCUUUAAAUUCAAAUGAAUCAAAGAAAAUCAAAAGAAAGGAAUAAAAAGGGUACAAAAUGAAAAAAAAGAAAGUAAAAUCCAAGAAAAUGACUGAAAACCUAUAUGUAAGUAUUUCCUAUAUAUGAGUCAACUAUACAACUACGAAAAGUAUAUAACAAAUCAAUUUCAAAAAAAUCUCGCCUAACUCCUUGGCGGUAAGACUCUGCAUUCAAUCACGAUUUCUUUCCAACAGACAACGAGUGGUAGGGAUAUUAUUUCUCUUGAAGAAAAGUUGGAGGAUAUGUCAUUUGUAUGUGUUGAUAUCAUUGUCGCCAAGUAUGCAUGUCAUCAGUAACUUUAAAUGAUUUAUCCCCAUACAAAGUAUAAUAGUUGAUCUAAAUGAUUUAUCCCCAUACAAAGUAUAAUAGUUGGUCUAAACCCUAAUUCCAUAAAGGACCAUACUGUUUAAAUGAAAUAAUUGCUCGGUUCCAUUUUACCCCUACAUUUUCUGCUUUUGUUUCGUUGCAAGAGUUUAACUUGUUAUUUGGAAUAUAUUGUUCACAGAAAGCACUUGUUCAGCAAUUUUUGGCUACUGAAGAUGCACUGAACAAAGCUGCAGAAGCGAGGGAUCUAUGUCAAAAACUUAUAAAACGCUUGCAUGGCAAUAGUGAUGUAAUUUCUUCAGGAACAUCACAAAAUGUGGGCAGUCUUAGGCAACUUGAGGUAAAUCUUCCUUGCAUAUUAAAAGUAUUAACUACCAAUAGUUUGGGUGGAAAUAGCACCAUGGGUGACAGGUUUGAUUAGUUUCAGUCUUUUGAUCGUUUCCAUAGUUGUAUACUGUAUACUAGGUUACUUUUAGCCUGCACUGUGUUCUCAUCUGAUUUUUUACAGUCUUCCAUUUGCUUUGUGUAGAUGGAGGUUUGGGCUAAGGAAAGAGAAGUUGCUGGCUUGAGGGCUAGCUUGAAUACACUGAUGUCUGAAAUACAACGCUUAAAUAAAUUAUGUGCGGAAAGGAAAGAAGCUGAAGAUUCUUUGAAAAAGAAGUGGAAGAAGAUUGAAGAAUUUGAUUACCGCAGAUCAGAACUUGAAAUCAUAUAUACCACAUUACUAAAAGUUAACAUGGUAAGGAUCUCAGCUUCAAUAGUGCUUAUAAAUUUACUAGUCACUUCAUAUACUGGCAUUGUAUAAGCCAUGUCUGGUCAUUCCAUGAAGUGUCGGCUCCUUUUCUUUAAGUUCCAGGCAAAAGUUCAUAUAUAUAAUAUAAAAUUCAAGACAAAUUUUCUAGCAGCCCAACGAGUAGAUGGACUCUUUUUUUUUUUUAAAUGAAAUCCACGGUCUCCUCUUUAGAUGCCCAAAGACCCUAUUUAUGGUUAUAGGUCUGGGGUUAACUCACCAGGAGACUUCAAUUUCCCUGGAACUUAUGCAAAUGAUAUCACCAAUUGCAUAGUUUUCAUUUGUUAUUCGUAUCAUAUGGUAGAAUAUUUCAAUAGAGGCAGCUAGGAUAAUGCUUAUCCAUCUCUUUGUCUUCUGUCGGGAAUAUUUUCUAAUGUUAUUUUUGUCUUGGUACAUGGUAGGAUGCUGCUGCCUUCUGGAAUCAGCAGCCAUUAGCCGCACGGGAGUAUGCAUCAAGCACAAUUAUUCCUGCAUGCACAGUAGUCAUGGAUCUUUCAAAUAGUGAAAAACAUCUUAUUGAAAGAGAAGUUUCUGCUUUUGACCAAAGUCCUGAUAAUAGCCUCUACAUGAUUCCAGCAAUUCCACAGGUUUGUGUUGGGGCUUAAAAAGACUUCACUACUUUGGAGAUGUUUAUCUCAUAAAGAAGAAUGUAACGCAGCGGAAUUGAUAGCCAAGAAAAAAGAAAGAACACUCAGAGUAUUACACAAAAUUUUUAUUCUCACACAAACUUAGUACAAGAGGAAACACUCAAACACUCUUACACUUCUUCACUCUUUUUCUCGCUUCUUGCUUUCUUACUGACUCUCACUUCUUCUUGCUUCUUUGUUACACAACACCACACACCUAUUUAAAGGUGGUGUUCCCCGACUAUCCUUGUUACCACCGACUUGAGCAUUGCAGCAAUGACCACAUGAUUUGCCGCCUCUAGAUCUUUCUUUAACUUGGAUAUUUUAGGUGAUAACCAUUUGAAAUUGCUGAAAUUUUCCAGCUAUAUUAUCGACAUAGAUUGCUAGCAUUUGCACACAUUUGCUUUGGGUUAGAUCACUUGUCUUGGGCCAAAGACAAGAUUACCUUUUAACAUCCUCCCUUAAUCUUGUCUUGUGACGCCGAUUGAGUUCCUCAGUCUAACAAAGUCUUCUUGUUUGAGUGGCUUGAUGAAUAUGUCAGCGACUUGGUCUUGAGACUUCACGGAUUCCACUUGCACAUCCUUUCUUGCAAUGCACUCUCUUAUGUAGUGAUAACGAGUAUCUAUGUGCUUGCUCCUGUCAUGGAACACCAGAUUCUUUGCUAGAGCUAUUACAGACUUGUUGUCGACAUUGAUCUCUGUUGGCUCUUCUUGUGGCCUGCUUAAUUCUUUCAGCACGUUUCUCAGCCAAAUUGCAUGACAGAUACAUGCGGUAGCAGCUAUAUAUUCAACUUCACAGGCAGACAGUGUGACAAUUGGUUGCUUCUUCAACAUCCAUGUGAAUGCAGUGUCUCCCAUGAAGAACACAAAUCCAGUAAUGUUUUUUCUAUCGUCGGAAUCUCCUGCCGAAUCACUGUCGCUAUAUCCAACAAGCUUGUAGUUAUUAGAGCUUGAAUAGAACAAGCCAAAGUUAAUAGUACCUUUAAGGUAUCAAAGAAUUCUUUUGGCGGUCUUCAAAUGUGUACUUAUGGGAUUCUCCAUGUAUCGACUAACUAAUCUGACGACAUAGAGAAUAUCUGGUCUUGUGCAAGCCAAUAGUGCAAGCUUCUAACUAGACUUUUGAAAAAUGUUGGAUCUACGCUUUCUCCUUUGUCAUGCUUGGUUAGUUUGACUCCGCACUUCAUUGGCGUGCUUAUGGGCUUGCAGUCUUCCAUUUUGAACUUUUUCAAUACCUCAUUUUGUAGCUUUCUUGGGAGAUGAAAAUGCCUUCUUCGUUUUGCUUAACUUCAAUGCCUAGGUAGUAUGUCAUCAGCCCGAUGUCGGUUAUCUCGAAUUCUUUGGUCAUCACUCUCUUGAACUCUUCAAACAUACUUGGAUUACUCACGGUGAAGAUUAGAUCAUCCACAUAUAAGCACACAAUCAAAAUGUCUCCAUCUUUGACUUUGAGAGCAUGUUCAUGAGGGCACUUGAUGAAGUUGUUCUCCUGAAAGUACUUGUCGAUGUGACUAUUCCAUGCUCGUGGCAUUUAUUUUAACCCAUAGAGGACUUUCUUCAACUUCAGAACUUUGUCUUCAUGCCCUUUGAUUUCAUAACCUGAUGGUUGCUGAAUGUAGACUUCUUCUUCAAGGACUCCAUUUAGGAAAGCGGACUUCACAACCAUUUGUUGAAUCUUCCAUUUGUUUUGAGCUGCCAAAGAAAUUAGUAAUUGUAUCGUUUCCUAAUGAGCAACGGGUGUAAAUACUUCAUUAUAAUCGAUUCUGGCUGUUUGACUAUAACAUUUCGCCACUAGUCUCGCCUUGUGUCUUUCGACCUCUCCAUUGGCAUUUUUCUUUGUUUUGUACACCCACUUGACUCCGAUGGCUUUAUGUCAUUUCGGAAGAAUAGUGAGUUCCCAUGUAUCAUUUUUUUGAAUUGCUUUGAUUUCUUCAUCCAUUGCUUUCCUCCAUUUAGUAUCCUGCACUGCUUCUUAGAAGUUGACUAGUUCACAAUCAGCAAAGAGACAGAAAAAUGUAGGAUUAUCAAGUCUUUUAGCCACCUCAUAGAGAUCUUGUAGACUUCUUGUGUGUGGUACUUCUGUUUCAUUUAGACUCCCACUUGACGAUGCUGAUGCUGGUAAAUUGCCAUGAUUGGUUGAUGUUGGUGAAGCAGGUAGAGUAGUGGAUUCUUGUUGAUCUUCUCUUGCUUGCUCCAUUAUUGUUUGUUCAUUAUCUUCUUCAAAUUGAGGAAAGAAGUGAAGAUCACCUGCAUGCAAGCCAAAAUCCCAUUCUCUUUCUUUAUUGAACGUCACUUCUCGACUAAUCACCGUCUUCCCAUUGUUCGAAGUAUACAGUUUAUAGCCUUUUGAAUUUGUGUCAUAGUUGAUGAAGAUGAACUUCUCACUUUUGUCGUCAAGUUUGGUGCUCCUCUUGUCUGGUACAUGUACAUGGGCUAUGCUUCCAAAAACUGUUAGAUGAAAGAUACCUGGCUUUCUUCCACUCCAUGCUUCUUGCGGAGUCCUUCCCUACACACUCUUUGUUGGAGACCGAUUGGAUAGGUAGACAACAUAUGUUACAGCUUCUGCCCACAAUUCCUUAGGCAAUCUCUAGCUUUUGAGCGUGCUUCGAGCCAUGUCGAGGGAUAGUUCGAUCUUUUCUUUCCGCCACACUAUUUUGUUGAGGGGAUCUUGGAACUAUCAAAGGUCAACGAAUUCCAUUUGCUUCACAAAACUCUUGAAAUUCAUUCGAAGUGAAUUCUCCUUCUCGAUCAGAUCUCAUGGCUUUGAUCUUGCAACCACUCUACUUUUCUACAACGGCUUUGAACUUCUUGAAUGCUCCAAAGACUUCUGAUUUCUGCUUCAAGAAAUACACCCAGGUUUUCCUUGAAAAAUCAUCAAUGAAGAGAAGGAAAUAAUUAUUUUUAGCCCAUGGAACACAAAAUUAUAACUUUUUGGACAACAAUACCCUUCUCUUUUUCAUUAAUUUCACUUCGAAAAUUAAACAAAAUUAAUCAAAAUUCCAGAGAUCUCUCAAUUUCUGCACAAUUAGCAUAAAAUAUUCAUUAAAAAUCAAAAUUUACCUCAACAAAUCAACUCAAAAACUAAGUUCUCUUGUUUUUCCAGGAAAUCAAGCUUAUUUGAUCGCACUUCAAAUUUUUUGGGAAACUGAGUGACAAAAACCCAACAAAAAGAAAUUUUCUCUAUGUUUGAUUUCUAUAUUCAAAGAAGAAAAACAGCAAAAUGAAGAAAAUCCAGAUCAGAUAAAGCAUUCUUGAGAAAGCCAAAGAGAGGAAAUUUUCUGGGGAAACAAACAUGAAGAACAGAAGGGUACCGGGGAAAGCCGAUGAAAGGAAGUGGCUGAUGCCGUCGCUCGAGGGAUGGGACAGCGAGGAUUAGGUGGAAGAUGUGAGGGAUGACGUUGAACUCGUAGGCGGUGGCUCAGGUAAGGUCGAACUCGUCGGAGUGGAUGGGUACGAUUGUCAUUUAAUCUUUCGUUCCAUUUCAGCUUGAACAUACACCAAAUGUAGCAUGGAACCUCCGUUCCGUCCUGUUUCGUCCAGUCUGUGUACUAAACGGUACCUUAUUGAAUGAAAGGAAAAGGCUUCUGCUUGGCUUAAUACCACUUUAGUCCAAUUGUCUUCUUGUUCUAGAAAUUGACAACUCUAUGUGAUGAAAAAACAUCUCAUGCUUAUUGUACGGAUGAAAAGUGCUGCUUUACACUAUUACAUUUAAAGUGAUUAGAAAUUCCGUGAAAAUUUAUAUUAUCUCAUUGCAUUGAUGAACGGGUGAGAUAUAGAGAAACAAAAUUUUAUACUUUCAUCUACUACAUUGAUGCUUAGGCGCACCGAAAGUCACCCAAAACCCUAAAAUUCUCCUCAUGAAUUAUGUGUCUAAUAUUUUUCAGAAGUUGUUAUCAGCACUUGCAAACAGUUUUUUAUGCAUGUCGGUCUGGAAGUUAUCUAUGAGGGGUCAUGAUAAUUAUUUUAAAAUGUUAGUAACAGUUAUCUUUUCUUAUUCUCGGUAGGCGGCUACCUCCCCCACACAGCAGCCCUAAACUCGCCCGUGAUGAGAAGACAUGACAUGUCUUUUGCGAAUGACAGGGAAUUGGACAAAACCAUCCCAUCUUUGUUUCAAUAAUUAUUAUGAAUUAUCGUAUACCGAUUAAUCUGUAAGCAGAUGAGAUAGCUACUCAUUUUCACCAUAAAAGGAAAACAUUUCAUCACAAGAUUGCAGUGCGGACAGAGAGGGUUGUGGUUGUCGUAGAUAAACCUAGGUUUCGUCACAAAACAGGAAAUUGAAUUAAGAACAAAACAAACAGAUUGUGGGUAGGAAAAGACAGAUUUUUUAGUGUGUUGAGAACACUGUUUGGUACACCAAGUAUAAUAAUACAAUUGGUUGGAAACUUGUUAAAAAAAAAAAUUUCCAACUAUUUAUAUCAUAUGGUGUAUUAGACCGUGUUCCCGAUAUCAACGAGAUUUGGAUGUCAUGCAUACAAAUAAAGCCCCUUAUUACUGUCACAUUAUUAUGUCUUGAUAAGAUCUUUAUUUAUUCCCUGCAAGUACCAUAUGAGAAAUGCUAAAGAGACUCUCUAUGGAUUCUCUGUUUGUCACUUCAUGUUUUUGACAUAAUAUUUUAUAAUGUUAGCACCAUAAUUGACUGUAAACUGUAAGGUAAUAUAGAGUAUAUGAAGAGUUCCACUUUAAGAGUGUCUCCUUAGCAUUUCUCAUACCAUAUUCUGACACCAUAGAAAGUAGCCAUUUUUUAUUGUAAGUUUUAGUUUUCACACGUAUUUAUGUUAUGCGAGACAACCGCAAAUAAAUCUUUUUGUAUAUACAACUUUUAUCAAGUUUAAGAGUUAUAAUUAAGAUAUUCCCGGUUGUAUAUAUUUAUAUGUUUUUAGUCAGUAUAAUUGGAGCUCAUCAUUAGUGUGUACGUGAUAGAUAUCCUCGGUUACACGGCAGAAUCUCACAGGAAUGUCAUAGCCAAUAAACUAGGCUCCUAUGCAUCAAUUUUUUAUGUGUGAAGAGAAAACACGAAUAAAUACAUGCAACAAUCUAUUGUUGCUGAUUGUGUACAACUUCAGACUCAUGAAAUUUGUAGCCACUCUACAUAUCUCGUGUGUAAAGUGGUACAUCAAAUGUGUCGAACUUGAUACAUCAAGUGUCAUAAUGCAAUUAAUUAAAAAACAAGAUUUCAAAUCUUUAUUUUCAAGUUUCACAUCUAACAGGGACCCAAUUAUUCUCUUUGGGACUUUUACAGCAACAAAGAAACAACCUCAAUCUACUUGCCCACCAUCCCAUACCUUUUUUUUUUCUUGUCUGGUUUGGUGGUAGGGAAUGAAACUUAUCUACGUUCACUUCUUCUGGUUUGCAGUUGACUGGUUUUUCCAUUAGUGUAAAAACGAAGCUUCAUGGACUGAUGCAGUACAUGGGGAACAAAUAUAUUUAAGGUUUUAGUGACUUCUUAUCUCUUAAAAGCCUUUGUGACCUUUCUUUUAAUUGAAUUGCCUAGUAACUAUCCUACUCUUAAAUAUUUAGUAUACCAAUGUUUGUAAUUUCCCUAUUUAAAGGGCUCCAUAUGUAUCCUUAAAGUGGUGAAAUUAGUGAAUUAAAGUUAAUCUAAGAAGAGAGUGGGCUUUCUCCUCAAAAUCAAGUGUGAGAUUUGGUUGUGUCGAGUGAAUCCACGAUUAGUGACGUGAGUGAAUCCGUUGCCCCUGGUCGAGUGAUUCCCAGGUUCUAUCCCUGUAGAGACGUGAGUGAUUCCGUCCCCCCUAGUUGAGCGAUUCCCAGGUUACUACCCCUUGUCUUUUCGAGACCCAUGGUUUUUUCUGCAUCAAGUGGCAUCAAAUAGAGAUGGCAAUUCAAACCGUUAAACUCGAUAACCGUGUAUAACCGCCUGAGAGAGGAUUUGGGUAUGAAAAUUUGGGUAUAUUAUGGAAAUGGGGAAAAAACGUGAACUUUAAUCGGUUAUGGUUUUGUAUAUGAUUAUAAGGGUCCCCAAUCCAUAUCCGUCCCCAAAUCCGAAUCCGAACCGAAUAAUAUAUAAUAUUAUUUGGUUUAUGUAAUAUAUAUAUAUAUAUAUUGUAUUUGAGUGAAGCUAUACCAUCAUUACCAUAUUCAUUAUUCGCUGCAUAAUGUAUUUAGUAUAUUAUUCGCCGCAUAAUGUAUUACAAAAUUCAUUUAUUGUUAUUGUGGAGCCAAAAAUAAUCAUAGGGCAACACAUGGAUUUUGGUAAAAAGGACAAAGUUACUCCUGAGACACACCGGUUCUCCUACGCCUGAGCAGUGGACAGUCAUUCUUUAAUCAAGCCAAGAGUGUCCAAAAAAGGUAACCAAUUCCAAAUUAUCUCAUCCAUCCUCAUCUUAGGUAAUUACUUCAUAACCUACAAAUUAUUCCAUAUACAUAGAGAUUAAUUGGCUAAUUAAUGGAUUAAUUCCUAAUUAAUCCAUUAAUCACCAAUUAAAUCACCCAUUUUCACACCUAAAACCUCUAAGGCCCGGCCACCUCCAUUCCCUAUAUAUAUGACCCUAUUUUUUCUAAAAAAAGGGUUCCACACUCUUGCAAAACUCCCAAAAACUCUCCAAAAACUUUUAUCUCUAAAUUCUAACUUUGGCAUCGGAGGUUCUUCGGCCAAAGCCUCCCAUUCAUUGUGGGCGGGUGAGGCUCUUGGCCUUGACCUAAGGUGUUAAUUGUUUUGUAGGUUCAAUUUUGUCAGGUGCAAUUUUGUCCAAGAAGAAGAAGGCGGAAAUUUGCAUUCAUAAAUUGGUGUUUUCAUUGAGAGAUGAGUACCACACUCGUAGAAGACUCUCGCAUCCAAGGUUUUCUAUUUUCUUGUCCAUUUGUAGAUUUUUCGUACGUUCUUAUUAUUAGAAUUUUUUAUUUGCAAAAAUUCUUUGAUAAAACGUAAAAGAGAAGUACAAUGGCUAGAAAUUUAAAAAAUUCAACAAAUGAAAAUUUCAACAUUUAAGAGAUGGGACCACGGCGAUUCACGAGGCUAAAUGUGACAAUAAGUGGAGCAGCACCACAACCACAAGUUUCCUCCAUGGGAACCACCGUGGUGGCUGCCUCGGUAGCCACUCGCGGUGAGGUCCAUGGCACCAUUACCGCGGCGAGGUCUAUGGCACCAUUACCACGGCCUGAGUCGUGCCAUUAAAGCAAUCCCAAUACAUGUCACUUCAAGCCCAAUGUGUUGCCAAGCCGAGCCCUAGCCUCGCACCCACAUACGCCACACGCCGAGCAGCCUACUCACGUGGCCCAGCCUGCCCCCAUGGCCGAGCCUGCUCCCGCCGAGUAGCCUACUCCUGUGGCACAACAUGCUCUAUCUAAGCAGCCCAUUCUCGUGGCACAGCCUGCUCCCUUUGAGCAUCUCAUUCUCGUGGCCCAACCUGCUCUCGCAGCUCUGCUUGCUCCCAUAACCCUGCCUGCUCCCAUGAUUUCCCAAGCAGCCCAAGUCGGCUCGAGAAUAUCUCGACCAUCCAGAGCAACCAUCAAGCCGGGGGCAUUUUUACCAUAUUUCUCCACAGAUUUGACAUUUCCCAACUCAAAUCUCAUGCCUAGAGUGUUCCAUACUUCCACUGCUUAAUGAGGCACAUUCUUUCUAAGCUCUUCCAAUCUAAAUGGCGAACAACACUUGUCUCGACAAGUCAUAAAGUUGACGAGCUCCCUUGCACAACAGACGACCUUGAUGAAUCAACUUUUGCAAUGCACCGAGAUCUAACGUGCCUUGGACAAGGUAUCCCUAAGUAGGACAAGGGUAGACGAAUCUUUCCAGCAGCAUCCCGGUAAGCAGCUACUCGACCAGCCACGAGCCGAGCGUUCGGGUAGUGUACAUUUCUGAUUAGGCCCCCAAGAUAGCAUAUACUUCCAUCUUAUAGCACGGAGGAGCGUGCACUCUCGACUAGGCCUGAGGAUAAGUAUACACUCACGAUUGGGGCUACACUUAGAUAAUCAACAUGAGCAGCCUUCCAGGCAAUGCAUUCAUUCGCAGCUAGGCCCGUAAAGAAUAUCAUCCACAUCAUAUCGGAGCAGACAACACAGCAGACGGAAAGAAGCAGUCACUCAAUCCGGCUCAAGUUCAACCAGUAGCCUGUGAGUUACACACUCGCCUGCUAGGAAUAUACCACACCCACCGUAGCCGCGGCAUAGACAAGCCGAACAUAUGGAAGAACAGCUUAGACUAUCACAUCACGAUCAGGGGCAAUCAAGAGCUCUGCCACCCCAACAAAGGAAAAUUCAGGAAGAAGUAGAAAGGCUCCUGACCAAGCGAUUGCGCAAUUUCUCGCGCCAACCAAAGCCUCAAAAGGGCACAAGAUGAAACACCUAAUGAUGGCGCAAUAAUUCAGAGAGCAGCUCAUUGCGUUUACACCUUAACGUGGGUUCCACAAACAGUUCACCAAACAAGACCUCGCAGUCUGAAGAUUAUUUCAGUUGUCUAGCAGUCCAGCUUUCCUCAGCUGCACUCACGACAACGACUUCCAUGAUUUCCAGUGCGAAAGGAUAAACUAAUUGCUCUCCAGUGCGAGAGGGUAAACCAAUUCCCCGACACCCAUAUGGGUUUGCUCUCCAAUGCAAGAAGAUAAACUAAUUGCUCUCCAGUGCGAGAAGGUAAACCAAUUCCUUGACACUCGUAUGGGUUUGCUCUCCAGUGCGAGAGGAUAAACUAAUUGCUCUCCAGUGUGAGAGGGUAAACCAAUUCCUUGACAUUCAUAUAUGUUUGCUUUCCUGUGCGAGAGGAUAAACUAAUUGCUCUCCAGUGCAAGAGGGUAAACUAAUUGCUCUCUAAUGCGAUAGGGUAAACUAAAUCCCUGACAGCCAUUUGGGUAAGCUCUCCAGUGCGAGAAGGCUGCAUAGUUUAAAAGAUCAAAUGCUUGAAGAUCAACUAAGCAACAAAUGGUUAGGGGGCAGCAGCCACUUUUACACUUAAUAGUUCGCUCAUCCGACACUUCAUUUUCAGAAACUCUGAUCUUGGCAGCUUUAUCCUUGACUGCUCCAUCUAUGGCAGUUGAAAAAUCAAACUUAAGCAGUUUCCUCAUAUUUAGCAGGCAGCCCAAACAAUUGCCUAUUCCACGCCACUUCCUCGGCCCAUGUCGAACCAAUCAUUGGCUUCAAUCCAGCCGAGUUGCUCAAGCAAUGGCCCCUGCCACAUCACCUCCUUGGCUCAUGCUAAGCCGACUCUUGGCCCCUGCCAGCUGAUGUGUCGUACCACCCUGAUUACUGCCCUGUGGCAGCACCACCCAAGAAGAAGACAAGAAGAAAUUAAGUUUUUAUUACAUUGGUGCGGCAUAGAGAAGACGAAGAAAGCAACAAAAGACGGUCAUUUGCAUGGGCAAGAUGUAGAAGAUUGCUAAAUGAGGGGGAACAAAUAUCCUCUAAACUCUCUCUCUCUCUUGUAAGGUAGAAUAAAUCACUCUCCAAAGUUGAUUUAAUAACCCACUUAAGGUGGACUUAAAUAGGUUUUGAGAGAAAUUUAUUUCCCUUUCCUAGAAUGAUCUAAUUUCAUAUUAAAGAGGGAUUCUACAUCAAAACAGGAAGCGGUUCUAAGUUUCCUAGAGCAAAAAGAUCUUUACACCUGCUGCCCUUUCUUACGAGUAGCCCAACAGGUGUGGGGGCAUUUGUGGAGCAAAAAAUUAUCACAAGGCAACACGUGGAUUUUUGGUAAAAAGGACAAAGUUACCCCUGAGACACACCGGUUAUCCUACGCGCAAGCAGUGGACAAUCAUUCUUUAAUCAAGCCAAGAGUGUCCAAAAAGGGUAACCAAUUCCAAAUUAUCUCAUCCAUCCUCAUCAUAGGUAAUUACUUCAUAACCUACAAAUUAUUCCAUAUAAAUGGAGAUUAAUUGGCUAAUUAAUGGAUUAAUUCCUAAUUAAUCCAUUAAUCACCAAUUAAAUCACCCAUUUUCACACAAAAAACCUUUAAGGGCCGGCCACCACCAUUCCCUAUAUAUAUGACCCUAUUUUUUUUCUAAAAAAGGGGUUCCACACUCUUGCAAAACUCCCAAAAACUCUCCAAAUACUUUUCUCUCUAAAUUCUAACUUUGGUAUCGGAGGUUCUUCGGCCAAAGCCCCCCCCAUUCAUCGUGGGCGUGUGAGGCCCUUGGCCUUGACCUAAGGUGUUAAUUGUUUUGUAGGUGCAAUUUUGUCCAAUAAGAAAAAGGUGGAAAUUUGCAUCCACAUUUAUGUUUUAUUUAUUUAUUAUUAAACGUGGCUAUUUAAUGACAAAAUUAGUAUUCACUAAAUUAUUGUGCGCCAAUUGGAUGAAUAUAAUUUUUUGUUGUUGACGAAGAUGGAUAUAACCAUUAAUUGAUAGGAAAUCCGUUACCCGGUGGGUAUGGUUAUGGAUAAUUCCCGAUAGUUAUUUUGCAGUUAUGGAUAUGGUUAAUUAUCAUGGUUAUGGAAUAGAUAUAAGAUUUCCGUCCCCAAAUUGAACCGUUGCCAUCCCUAGCAUCAGUGCAGGUUUUCUGCUAUGGAGUUAAAAGGAAAAAAAAAAUCAUGUUGUUGAUUCUACACUUCUCUUCAAAUUUCAGUUCUCUUUGUCCUAAUCACCCAAAAGGUUACCUAUAAUUGGAAAGGUCUGCGAGUCCACUUUCUAACAGAACAGACAGUGCCUCAAUCAAAAUUUUUUUUGCAGCAAUUUGCUAGCAAAUAGUGUAAGGUGUAUGUUUUGUGCAAAAUCUGCAAGGCGCAGUUUCGUUUUCAACGAAGAGAUAUACCAGCAUCUUGUUCCAAUGAAUAAUAAUCAGGUAUAUGAAAACCACUCUAGUAUGAUAUUUAUCGAGGAAGAUCUGUUUUAUUCACAAAGAAUUGAUUGGAAUUUACCUCCACUAUAUGAUGAGUAUUCGGAGGAUGGUGUUUUGAUGAUUCCUAUCCAAACAGGUGCUAACGUUGAAGUGAAUGUUGAAGAACAUGCUUUGAUAGAUAUUUGCAGCUUGGAAAGUUCAGAAUAUGAAGGAUUUGGAUUUUUUCAAGAUGAGAAGAUUGAUAGUCCAAUGUUAAGUUCAUCAAUAAGCUACGGGCAUGUAAAAUUGUGGUCACGGCCAAGUGAUGAAGGAGCUGUUCAAAUUUGCUUUUUAAUUCUCCAGCACAUUGUUAAAGAUCAAGUUUUGGGGACAUUACAACCGAUGGCAUAUCGUUGGGAAGGUCGAAAACCUAAAUUCAAAUUAAGAUUAAAAAGAUACAAACUCGAGGACGAGUUUUUUUCGAGAAGAGUAGAAUCAUGCAGUGCAUGGGGAACAAAUAUAUUUAAGGCUUUAGUGACUUGUCAUCUCUCAAAACCUUUGUGACCUUAUCUUUUGAUUGAAUUGCCUAGUAACUAUCCUACUAUUAAAUAUUUUGUAUACCAAUGCUUUGUAAUUUCCCUAUUUAAAGGGCUCCAAAUGUAUCUUUAAGGUAGUCAAUUAGUGAAUUAAAAAUAAUCCAAGAAGAGAGAGAGUUUUCUCCUUCCUUAAAAUCCAGUGUGAGACUUGGUCGUAUCGAGAAGAAGAAAAUGAUGCAAUGCAUGGAGAACAAACACAUUUAAGGCUUCGUGGUUUCUCAUCUUCCAAAACUUUCUGUCACCUUCUCUUUUAUGAGUUGCCUGCCUAGUAACGAUCCUAUUAUUAAAUAUUUAAUCUACCAAUGCUUUGUAAUCUCCCUAUUUAAGGGCUCCAAAUGUAUCUUUAAGGUAGUCAAUUAGUGAAUUAAAACUAAUCCAAGAAGAGAGUGAGUUUUCUCAUUCCUUAAAAUCAAGUGUGAGACUUGGUCGUGUCGAGUGAAUCCACGGUUAGCGACAUGAGUAAUUAUGUUGCCCCUAGUCGAGUGAUUCCCAGGUUCUACCCAUAGAGAAGUCGAGUGAAUCCAUUGCCAUUGGUUAAGUGAUUUCCAGUUACCCCUUGUCUUUUCGAGACCCUUGGUCUUUUCUACGUCAAGUGGCAUCAUAGUAGGUUUUUCGCUGCAGUUAAAGAUCAUGGCUAUGAUUAUCAAUCCGUUUCAAGAUCACAUCGUUGAAGAGAUUAGUUUUGUCAAUUGAAAUUCUCCGCCAAUUUAUGACAAAUAUGUUGAUGACGAUGAGUUUACUGUUGAUGUGGCUCAUCAAGGAGUUUAUCUGCUGCUAGGAGAUGAAGGCUUUGUGGAUUGGGGUUAUCCACAUAAUAUGAGUACAAUGGCGGAAACAUUUUACAUGUAGCUUCAUAAAGAGGAACUAAGGUGUACUUGCUUUGGAAUAACAUGGAAGCGGAGUUCAAAGGAAUAUUUUGUGUGACAGAACAACUUGGACUGCUCUGGAUUUGCUUUUGCUAUUGUGGCUGUUGUGGAAAAAAAUUGAAAGGUAUCCAAAAGAUCGAGGAAAACAAAAUCAAAGGAAACUCGAGGACGAGUUUUUGUUCGAGAAGAGGAAAAUGAUGCAGUGCAUGGAGAACAAAUAUAUUUAAGGUUUUCGUGGCUUCUCAUCUCCCAAAACCUUUGUGACCCUCCCUUUUAAUUGAAUUGCCUAAGUAACUAUCCUACUCUUAAAUAUUUAGUAUACCAAUGCUUUGUAAUUUCCCUAUUUAAAGGGCUCCAUAUGUAUCCUUAAAGUAGUGAAAUUAGUGAAUUAAAGUUAAUCUAAGAAGAGAGUGAGUUUUUUCCUCCUUAAAAUCAAGUGUGAGACUUGGUUGUGUCGGAUGAAUACACGAUGAACGACGUGAGUGAAUUCGUUGCCCCUAGUCGAGUGAUUCCCAAGUUUUAUUCCCAUAGAGACGUAAGUGAUUCCGUCCCCUCUGGAUGAAUGAUUCUCAGAUUACUACCCCUUUAUCUUUUCGAGACCCUUGGUCUUUUUGCAUCAUGGACCCCAAGUUAUAAUAUUCCUAAAAUAGUCAUUCCAAUUUGUCUUGUCAAUCACAAUUAAUUUGUUGAGCUAAUUUUGUUGUGUACGUGUAAAAUAAGCCAAUCAGUGUCCUUUUUAUAUCUAAAAAAUUGUAUAAUCCUACAGAGAAUAUUUAUAUUAGGCCUCAGCAAUUGAUAUAAAAGGCAACCUGUAUGAACACAUUCUUAGAGUCAAUAAUAGCAGAGCUUCUUAGAGGGGAAAGUAGAUAGGUUGUAAAACAAUGUCCUGGUUUCUUACAGUCAUCUUUCUGGUCACUACUCUUACAUUUCAUACUCCUUCAGAGGCUAUCUAUGAGGAGAUUCCAGCCUUCUGCAGUAGUUGUGGGAACUGUCUACUGUGACACAUGUUUCCAAGAGGAUUUCUCAAAUACCAGCCAUUUCAUUUCAGGUAAAUUCAUCUCAAAUUUUCAACAAGUUCUUCAUCAAGUUUUAUUUUUCUAUUGUAGCCAGUUCAAUAAUUUCCAUACACCCCUUCUCUUCUUCUAUACACACUCAUGUUUAUAUUUUAAUCAUUAAAUUUGAAUAAAUCAGAGAAAAAUUAAAAGAAGGAAAUAAACAAAAGUGUACAAAUGGAGAAAAUGUAAAAUCUAAAUUGACUGAAAACCUUUAUACAGGUAUUUCCUACGAGUCAACCAUACAACUACGAAAAAUUAAUUAACACAAAUCAACAGCAAAAAAAAUCUCACUUAAACUAAUUCCUUGACGGUAGGAUUCUGCUUUCAAUCACGAUUUCUUUCCAACAGACAACAAAACGUUGGAAGUUAUGUCAUCGUAACUUGUCAUUUUAUUGUCAGUCAACAAAACUUCCUGACAUGAUAUGGAUGCAUUAUCCAUCAAUAAUCUUGUGGGGGUUUUUGUGCAGGGGCUUCUGUUGGUGUGGAAUGCAAAGAUGGGACUUUAACAAAACAAAGUUUCAACGCACAAGUGAAAACAAACAGCCAUGGGCAGUUCAAAGUCCAUCUGCCCUUCUCAGUGAGCAAAGAUGUCAAGAAAAUUGAAGGAUGCUCCGUGAAACUAAUCCGCAGCAGUGAACCCUACUGUGCUGUGGCCUCAUCAGCCACCUCAUCUUCCCUACACCUCAAGGCAACAAAACAAGGGACUUACAUAUUCUCUGCUGGUUUCUUCACCUUCAAGCCUCUCAAGCAACCCAGCUUAUGCAACCAGAAACCCAACAUUCAGAAUUCCAAGAAAUUAAAUUCCCAGAAGUUCUCAGAGAUGGCAUUCCCAUCCUCCUCUCAGGUGGACCCCAAAAUGCCUGAUCCCUCUCUCAACCAAUCUGAUCUCCUAGGUCUCCCAGGUCUCCCAGGUCUCCCAGGUCUCCCAGGACUCCCAGGUCUCCCAGGUCUCCCAGGACUCCCAGGACUCCCAGGACUCCCAGGUCUCCCAGGCCUCCCAGGACUUCCAGGCCUGCCCCUUGCUGCUGAAAAAACUUCAUCCAAGUCCUCCAACUCCAAAACUUCAAGGAAUGGGCAACUAGGUGAUAAUAAAGAAGUCAGCCCAUCCAGAUUCUCCACCAGCAGGUUCAGCACCAUGAUUCCCAACCUACCACCUAUCCUGAUUUCUGUUGGGUUCCUAUCCUAUUGGGCGUAACCCGUUUAAGUAGAAUAAGCCCAUUUAGGUCUUCUGAGUUGUGGUUUCCUGAAGUUCUAUGUAUUUAGGUCUCUUCCUUCUCUUUCGAGAAUUAUGUGAAAUAUUGAAUGUUUAAGUUUUAUCUGCUUUUCCCAUUUUCUCUCUACUUUUCCCUCUUUCUUCUCUAACGAGAAUGUGUCGUUCAUAGACAGCUACAAGUACGGUAAUAUAAUACGAUUCAAUUAUUAGUUAAAUACAAUGAUUAUAUCGUUGAAACUUAAAAUUUCAAGAUAAGAGAUUCAAAGAUAAUAUAAUAUAUAUAUAUAUAUAUAUAUAUAUAUAUAUAUAUAUAAUAUUAUAUAUAUCAAUUAUUGUUGAAUCUUACCCAAGGAUGAAAAAGGGUAUGGGUAUUCUUUGCAGGGGUGGAAAAACAGAAGUGGGUCGGCCAUGCUUUUACUAUGUGGGCCCCUUAGAGAAAACCUGCUAAAAAUGAACCGUUUCAACAGAAGGAGGCAAAUAGCUGUACGGAACGACGACGUCCCUGAAUUAAGGUCAUCUUCUUCGAGUGCGGACGAGCCGUAUCACAUACCUUUCCUGUUUCCAUCGAGUUUGAUCUACUUCAACUUCUGUUUCGACAGAGUAGCAGGGUAAUGAUUUUGGGAAAAAAAUUUAAGGUUAGGGUUUUGGAGAAUAAUUUUGUGACUAGGGUUUUAGGGUUUUGGAUUGUUUUCACAAAAUCAUUCUCCACUGGUGAAAUAAAUCACCAUAAUAAUAGCAGUAGGCUAUGAUUUUAACUUAAUCAGUACCCAAAUGUAAAAUUUUAUGCUUAUUUCCGCAAAUACUAUUAACAAUUUAACAUGGAGUUUUAAUUUUUUAUGAAAUUUUUGUAGUUGAUUGGGUUUGUAUGAUGAAUAUUAGUGUUUUGAGCCACACUUGUUAGUCCAACUUCAAGCAAAUUUGCAAUCAGCAAGUCCAUUCUCUCUAGCUGCGACCUUCCUUGCAAAGGGAGGAAUCUUAACAGAGUCUUCAACCCUUCCCCAAAAGCUAUGAAUAAAGUCUUUAGCGACGACGGUCCAAUUAAGCACUCUAACUUUGGCCUUAUUGGUAUCGGAACGGGCCUCCCUGGAUCAGUGACAGCCGCCGCAGCUUCUACUGCCGUAAAAACUGUUCUUCACGUACCUUGACACUAACCACUUUUAUGGUGACUACUGCGCCUUUCUUCCCAUUGAUGAUUUGACUGUCUACCUAAAUUCUCAUGCUUCCCAACCCUCCGCCACUACUACCACCAAUUUCACCUCUACAAGUACAAGCCAUGAUGAUUGCAUCGCCUUACCCCUCACCCGCCAGUUGCUGUACGCCGAUACAGAGACCGUUACAUAUGCCCCUUAAGUCCUUGCACAAUAUAAUAGAAGCAAACCUCGGUCAAAUAAUAUAAACUUGAACUCCAUUUUGAGCAUUGUGAGAUAAGGGAAUGUGCUAGAAACUAUUAUGUUAAAUUCAUUCUUAUUAAACCUUUCAAAUAUGUGAUGUUUAUUAAUAAGCAUUUUAGGAAUAUCUAUGACUAUGUUUUUAGAUUGUUUGUACCAUACUUGACCAAUCCCGACACUACUAAGCACCGGUCAACGUUAUACCGUCAAGGACCUAGAAGAGUUUCCCUCCAACCAGGAGGCCAAUCACAGCGCGACACGUGUUGACAUCAGAAGCCAAUCAUAGCGCGACACGUGUCAACAUAAGAAGCCAAUCACAACACGACACGUGUUAAUGUCAGAAUGAAACUAGAAACUCUCUUCUAUAAAUAGAGAUCAUUCUCUCACAAUAUUUCCUAAUGUCAUUUGUACUAAAUCAUUCACUAGUACUCACUAAAGGAGAGCUUGAACCUAUGUACUUGUGUAAACCCUUCACAAUUAAUGAGAACUCAUCUACUCCGUGGACGUAGCCAAUCUGGGUGAACCACGUACAUCUUGUGUUUGCUUUCCUGUCUCUAUCCAUUUACAUACUUAUCCACACUAGUGACUGGAGCAAUCUAGCAAAGGCCACAAACUUAACACUUUCUGUUGUACCAAAGUCCUCACCGAUUUUGUGCAUCAACAUUUGGCGCCGUCUGUGGGAACGACACUUAUUCUCACUCUCUUCAGCUUUGUUAAGCUGGUUUCCACCAUUUGUACACUCUCUUUUGACCAGGCAUCCCUCUCCAACAUGGGGAGCGACGGAAGCCACAACACACAGAAUGACACCCUUCUUGCACCUAGUGUGAAGCAACGAAAGAAGGAAGGAAAGAGGGUUGCUUUUCAAGCUAAAGUCGAUGAGCUAGAAUCUUAAAACAACAAGAUAGCAAUGAAGAAUGAGGUCCUCCAAGAGCAGUAUGAGAAGCUCUUUAAGAUGCUCCACGAAACUAGGCGUACUCAAACACGCGAACUCGUUACCCCUGUGGACAUCAACCAUCAUCUGGAUACCUCCCAACAAGGAGGGUCACCUUCCUUCGACAUGGGUAUCCCUGAUGAGGAGCGAGCUAAUCAUCAAAACAUUGAUCAACAUGAGACUUCUUUCAACUCAGAUGCUUCGACCCGAAACAGGAGAAGUGGAGGAAGACACCUUUUUGCAGAAAGGUUGGAAGGAUCGAAAUCCAUUUAUCAUGACUGCCGAGACUUCCUAAAGCAACGUCAAGAGAAUCUCCUCCACAUAAGCUCGAAGAUCAAUGACCCAAGGGUUUCUGAAAGACUUGGUCCCCUCCCACGUCCCAGGCCGGCUACCAAUUUGGGGAAAGGGCAACAAGUCCUAGAGAAACACGAAGGUAUAGGGGGCUCAGAGAUGUUUCGACAGACAUACCUUGAAAGUCAGUACGGCGAGUCCAAGGAAAAAUCACAUGCUCUUGAUCAAACCUUCAUACUUCCAAGAGGAGAUGAACAUUUACGAAAGAAAGCUCAAGUGGUACAUGACUCCACUCAAGACCUUCUUGUCAUACAGCUUCUUAAGGAAGUAAACAAGUUGAAGGCCGAACGACAAGCUGAGAUACCUGAUUGGAACCAACCUAGGCCUGG
rnacentral:lncRNA from 1 species